GAGAGCCAGAGACCAGUGAUUGGUCAGACAGCUCACUAGCGGAUCUAGUCUUCUAUAUAUAUCUAUGGUCGGAACGUAUGGUAGCAUCUCUGGCUGCUGUUGACCUUGUUUUUGGAGUAAAACAUGGUGGAAGCUGAAUUAGUGAGGAUGACUCCUGCCAUCUCUAAACUCCUCACACAUCUUUACCUGCACAUACUUGAAUUUUCUGACCCAAGAGCCGAUGUAAUCCACAGCUGUCACUGCAUUGGUGGUGGACCUGCCAAACAACAAUGCCUGCUGUGAUGACAAUGCCACCAUCCCUCCUCUCUCCUGCAGGAAACCCUAACGCACUUCAGCUGCUGCUUCCUUCUCCACCGCUACACACCCGAAAAUAAAAAACAAACACAUGACUACAA